UACAGAGGGGGCAAGCGUUGUUCGGAAUUACUGGGCGUAAAGGGCGCGUAGGCGGCCCGCUAAGUCGAACGUGAAAUCCCCGAGCUCAACUCGGGAACUGCGUCCGAUACUGGCGGGCUUGAAUCCGGGAGAGGGAUGCGGAAUUCCAGGUGUAGCGGUGAAAUGCGUAGAUAUCUGGAGGAACACCGGUGGCGAAGGCGGCAUCCUGGACCGGCAUUGACGCGUGAGGCGCGAAAGCUAGGGGAGCAAACGGG
rnacentral:rRNA from 1 species